UACGAAGGGGGCUAGCGUUGUUCGGAAUUACUGGGCGUAAAGCGCACGUAGGCGGAUACUUAAGUCAGGGGUGAAAUCCCGGGGCUCAACCCCGGAACUGCCUUUGAUACUGGGUAUCUCGAGUCCGGAAGAGGUGAGUGGAAUUCCGAGUGUAGAGGUGAAAUGCGCAGAUAUCGGGAGGAACACCAAUGGCGAAGGCAGCUCGCUGGGACGGUACUGACGCUGAGGCGCGAAAGCGUGGGGAGCAAACAGG
rnacentral:rRNA from 1 species